rnacentral:rRNA from 1 species
AUGGCCAGCGGACGCGGAUCUUUCUUCUUUGCUGGAUCUAUGCGGGGGCUUCUAUGUCCUUCAUGUGUUGAUUUUUUUCCUCGAUCCACAUGCUUCUGGAUUUUCAAUCCCUUCCCAAGCAUGGAGAUGGAAGAUCUUCUUGAGUUUGACUCCAAAUCCUUGACCCGGGCAAAUGUUGUUGAGAAUUUUAUCCAUCGUUGGCUUCCUGCCUCCAAGUUGUAUAAAAGCCAUACUUCCUGCCUUGCUCUUUCUUUACAUGUGAAGAAUAUAGAGGAUUACAAUGUCGAGGGGGACUCGUUGAGUCAAGGAAACUCGGGGAGUUAUGAUGCUGAUGGAGGUGAUCGCAAUGGUAAGGGACCGUUUGGAUCCUCUCUGGCUCUGUGUUUCACCAGCUCCGCACGUGGAGCGAUGCCGAAUGGCCCACCUCCGCGAAGCCAGCCCUCCUGCAGUGCAAUUUCGUGGAGCAGCGGAAGCAUAGCUCCUCCAAACGAUGAAGCAGGAGUUGCAUGA